AUGCCUGGCAGUUCCCUACUCUCGCAUGGGGAGACCCCACACUACCAUCGGCGCUACGGCGUUUCACUUCUGAGUUCGGCAUGGGGUCAGGUGGGACCACCGCGCUACUGCCGCCAGGCA
rnacentral:rRNA from 1 species